CACUGACAUGAUUACAUUACCGUUCCCCAAAAAUUGUAAGUGAAAAAUGAGUAAAUAUAGAAAAAAACAUGGGAUAGUUUUAAAAACCACUUGAUAUAACAUAUUUUCUGCGUAUGAAAAAUGUGUCUGACGUAAAAUAAAAGCAAUAUGCCUAGAGCGAUGUUUUUACCAUGUGUAUUGGAAGGAAUAAAAGUAGUGAAUCUCUCCAUUCGUCAGAUACUUCGCGUAAACGUUCGCCUCGGCCGGAGAGAAAGAAAAGUAACAGUGCGCAGAAUUUAAAAAACGCCAAUAAGUCACAGUCACAAUCCCGUGCAGCAGUAAGACCUCUAAACAUACCUGGUUUAUUCCCAUACAAUAUUCCUGGCCUGAAGCACAAUAACGCACCCACAAAACAAAACAGUAAUACGCAUGUAAGAAAAAAUAGCAUCUUGGACUUAAAACAAAACAUAAGCAAGGGAAAGGUGCCUGUUAUAGAGACAGAGAGACGCAGAGAUAAAUCCCCUAAGCCAGAGGUACAUAAAGAGGUCCAUAAGAAAUUAAAAAAUCGGGGUGUUGUAACUCAAGAAGUGUACCCAGCAGUGGUCAGUGAAAAGAACAAGCAAACUUACGUAGAUGCUGCAAAGGUCUGGAAAACUCCGCCUCCGACUCCUGUGUCUAAAGAUUUGCCUGGCCCGAGCAAUCAAAAAGUUAAAGACAAACCAAAAAAAGAAAAAAGAAGAAAGUCCUUAAAAAUAGCAGUACGACGUCAGCUAUGGAAUUGGUCGAAACACGCUCUCAAGGAUAAUGAACAUUGGGGAAAACUAUUCAAAGAUAAUGCUAUAGAUGUUGAUAAAAUCAAUAUUGACAAAGUGGAUUUAAGUCUCAUAAAUAUGGAUGGUUUGGGUAUUCAAAAUAAAUUUGUAAGACGAACUGUGGAAUGGUUACUGAAAUAAAAUAAUGUUGUUCUAUUAGCCAUUGUUUUAAUGUAUAAAUCCAGUCUUCGCCAGCUAGUAGAUACUGUCUCCGAUAGCAAAUAAAAGAAUCGGAUGAAGUUGUACAAUAUGUCUGAUAACUAUGCCUCAAGUACUAAUUCUAUUCUAUGAUUGUAUGAAAUGUUGAUGUCCAAAUGUUCAGUCGUGCUGCGACAGAUCACGAACGACGACAUUGAAAAUUUAGAUUUUGAUCUUUGUCUGGUUUUAAUUAUUGUUUUAUCCUAUUGAUCCUACCACUUUUGCAUGAAUCAUGGUCAUGGCGGAUCGCUUUGAGUACAUUUUCUGUCUGACAUGUAUCAACCAAAUUCUUAUGUUUCGCACAAUAAUACUUACCUAUUCAUUAUUACAAAAUUAUACUGUUGACUCUACAUUCUUUCAAUCAAUCCCGAGUAGCAGGUAAGUAAUCGAAACGCACUGUGAUUUGUGAUAAGAGACAUGCUGAAUAGCUAUGUCGGAUUUGUUAUGGUUCGUUGCAGUAGUUGUUCGUUUCUUGAUUAUAAAGGAUGUAAAGGAUACUCGUAGAUUUUGUUCUUAAGAGUUGCAAUUUUUUCAGGUAUACCUCAGACUUGUAAAUUUAGUAACGACACGAAAUUGUCAACCGCGAACUAACCACGAAAAUCAGAAUCAACCACAAUCUCUUAGCCCAGGACUACCAGAAAAUGACAACCUUAAUGAGGCACCCAAUGUGAGACCUAGAAAUCGAUGCUGUCCCUACGAUUUUGACAGUACGUUAUGUAAAGUUGUCGAUGAUAGAGUCCUUUGUGGAUUUAACAGAAACGUAGGGAGGCCUGCGAGUAAAGAUCAUGAAGUUGAACUUGGCCAGAAUUGCCGUUUGAAAGGGGGAAGAUUGGAAUGUGGUUAUGUGAAUGGGCCUUUUACAAAUCCGCGCAGGCCUCCCCCGUGGUAUAAGCCUGGAUCCGAAUCAGAUGGUGACAAUGAUGUUGAUUUCAAUCCGUCAGGAAAUGACAAUGAUGUUGACUUCAAUCCUCCGGGAAAUGACAGUCCUGAAGUGACUGAUGAAGAGAGCAAACAAAAAUUGAAGCACAAAAUAGUGACGCCUGCACCCCAUCGAGGGGUGACCAGUGGAGCCGGUCCUGUGUCCUGUGUCCCAUGAAGAUGUAAGCUAUGUUAUUGAGGCAAGCAUCAAAAUUAAAUUAAUAGCUACUUAUUGAA